UGAGAAGGUGUGUCCAAACUUUUGACUGGUACUAUACAUUAGACCUCACAGCUAAACUGUUUCAAUCAGGAGAAUUACAAGAACUACGGUAGAGUAUUGGAAGAACUAAGGUAGGCCUCACAGCUAAACUGGUUCAAUCAGGGAUAUUACAAGAAAUACGGUAGAGUAUUAGAAGAACUAAGGUAGGCCUCACAGCUAAACUGGUUCAAUCAGGGAUAUUACAAGAAAUACGGUAGAGUAUUAGAAGAACAUUUACAUUUUACACUUACGUCAUUUAGCAGACGCUCUUAUCCAGAGCGACUUACAAAUUGGUGCAUUCACCUUAUGAUAUCCAGUGGAACAACCACUUUACAAUAGUACAUCUAUAUCUUUUUUUUUGGGGGGGGGGUUAGAAGGAUUACUAUAUCCUAUCCCAGGUAUUCCUUAAAGAGGUGGGGUUUCAGCUGUCUCCGGAAGGUGGUGAUUGACUCCGCUGUCCUGGCGUCGAGAGGGAGCUUGUUCCACCAUUGGGGUGCCAGAGCAGCGAACAGUUUUGACUGGGCUGAGCAGGAACUGUGCUUCCGCAGAGGUAGGGGGGCCAGCAGGCCAGCGGUGGAUGAAAGCAGUGCCCUUCUUUGGGUGUAGGGACUGAUCAGAGCCUGAAGGUACGGAGGUGCCGUUCCCCUCACGGCUCCGUAGGCAAGCACCAUGGUCUUGUAGCAGACGCGAGCUUCAACUGGAAACCAGUGGAGAGAGCGGAGGAGCGGGGUGACGUGAGAGAACUUGGGAAGGUUCAACACCAGACGGGCUGCGGCGUUCUGGAUGAGUUGUAGGGGUUUGAUGGCACAGGCAGGGAGCCCAGCCAACAGCGAGUUGCAGUAAUCCAGACGGGAGGUCUCACAAGUAAACUGGUUCAAUCAGGAGUAUUACAAGAACUACGGUAGAUCAUCUCAGAUUUACAAAGUAUGGGGUAUUUCAAACAUUUUGGCUAGUAUUGGCAAACUCAUAAAGUACUGCACAUUCCCAAAUCAACAAAAUAUGGACUAGGGAGUCUGUCUGCAGUUUCCCACUAUGACUGACUGGUGGUAGUUUAGACUGCUUCAGACACUCACCCAUCUGGCGAAUCCCUGGAUAGAAGCCUAGAGAAUCCCUUGCCUGGAUUUUAUACUGACAACCACAGGCUGUACUGUACUGCCCUCCAUAGGCCUUUACACAGACAGACGGACGGACGGACGGACAGACGGAGGGGCUAUGGGUUUACCUUCCCUGGCUGCUGAAGCCUACAGGAGAGGAGAGCACCCUUCCUCCCUCUCUCUCUCUCUCUCUUUCUUUCUUUCUUUCUUUCUUUCUUUCUUUCUUUCUUUCUUUCUUUCUUUCUUUCUUUCUUUCUUUCUUUCUUUCUUUCUUUCUUUCUU
rnacentral:lncRNA from 1 species